GCACAUGGGCGAAAGCUAGAUCUAGACCAUGCCGCGUGUGUGAUGAAGGCCUUAGGGUCGUAAAGCACUUUCGCCAGAGAUGAUAAUGACAGUAUCUGGUAAAGAAACCCCGGCUAACUCCGUGCCAGCAGCCGCGGUAAUACGGAGGGGGUUAGCGUUGUUCGGAAUUACUGGGCGUAAAGCGCACGUAGGCGGAUCGGAAAGUUGGGGGUGAAAUUCCGGGGCUCAACCCCGGAACUGCCUCCAAAACUCUCGGUCUGGAGUUCGAGAGAGGUAAGUGGAAUUCCGAGUGUAGAGGUGAAAUUCGUAGAUAUUCGGAGGAACACCAGUGGCGAAGGCGACUUACUGGCUCGAUACUGACGCUGAGGUGCGAAAGUGUGGGGAGCAAACAGGAUUAGAUACCCUGGUAGUCCACACCGUAAACGAAUGUAAUGCCAGUCGUCGGGUCGCAUGCGAUUCGGUUCACACACCUAACGGAUUAAGUCAUUCGUCCUGUGGAGUAC
rnacentral:rRNA from 1 species